rnacentral:lncRNA from 1 species
GUUGUGUCAUUGUGUCAUUGUGUGGCUGUGUCGUUGUCGUGUUGUUGUGUUGUGUCGUUGUGUCAUUGUGUGGUGCGGCUGUGUGGCUGUGUGGCUGUGUUGUUGUGUGGCUGUGUCGUUGUGUCAUUGUGUCGUUGUGUGGCUGUGUUGUUGUCGUGUUGUUGUGUCGUGUCAUUGUGUCGUUGUGUCGUUGUGUCAUUGUGUCGUUGUGUGGCUGUGUCGUUGUGUCGCUGUGUCGUUGUGUCGCUGUGUCGUUGUGUCGCUGUGUGGCUGUGUCGUUGUGUGGCUGUGUCGUUGUGUGGCUGUGUCGUUGUCGCGUUGUGUCG